rnacentral:lncRNA from 1 species
UUUGCGGGAAAGAGGAUUUCAUUCAUCAAGUAAUAUGGUUACACUCAGCGGCAAUGAUGCUCGCGAUCUUGUCGGGAGGGUUACGCAGCCAAACAGCAGUCCGCUGUUGAGUACGUCCCAAAUGGGCGAGAGUAUGCUAGCGAGAUUUACACUACGCUUAAUCUUCUGUAACUGAAUCCUUCUUUCUUGAGCUAGCAGGGAUAUAAUCUCCAUGACUCUGAGUGUGAGCUGAACGAUCUUUCCCCACAGCAGAGAUCAAAUGUAGCGCAUCUGCACAGUCGCUCUCCACCACAAGGUCCAAUUCUGUCCAACUAGCAUCCGUGCUAGCAUCCCUAUCAACCGAAAAAGACUUCCACCCAACUUUAUAUGUAAAGCCGCACAGCCAAACAAAUACAUGCUGAUGAGGAGAUCCUACAAAGCAGAUCAAUGAAAAAAACAAGAUAACUGGAGAACCCACACACUAACACAAAGUAACCUAGACUACCAACAAGAGACGGAACAAGGCAUAGGUAAAACACCCGGCCUAGUUGCGACACUCACAAGCAAGUUGUCAUCGGAGAGGGGCCCCUUCCAUCCCGCUUCGGAUCAUGGAGCCCGGGCCUCUAUCUGCAGACAUCAAGG